UCGGACACAUGAACAUCGACAUUUCGAACGCACAUUGCGGUCCACGGAUACAAUUCACGGACCAUGCCUGGCUGAGGGUCGUUUAAUAAAACAAGACCAGACUGCCCGCGCGCUCGCGCGCGCGAGAGAAAUCCUGAGCGUUUGUUCGGCGCACGCGCAUUUCCCUCUCUCUGCGGGGGGAGAAAGCUCAGAGCCGAGCGUCACUUUAAACGAAAGAUAACACGAUAAUANCACUUGACACACACACAUUAUGCGUGCGCGCAAGCUGCGUGUACAGUUCGCUGAAGCCUNUUGCGCGGCGCCGUGUGUCGCGUGUCCGUCGAGUCCCGGAGCUCUCGUGCCUUGUGNUCUCUUUUGAGUGCAGGCGCACCGGGCGGACCGACGGCUGCGCGCGCGCGAGCGAUCGNUCUUUUAGCGGCAUUUAGCGCCCGUUGCUAGCGUUCGAAAGAGCUUCCUCCGCGCCCGCGUGUGUGUCGUGUGNUUUNAACGAGGACACCAAAGCNGCAA
rnacentral:sRNA from 1 species